UUGACAGCAGCUGUCAGGUUGAAAUCCCGGUGUUACACUUACCGAAAGUUAACAAACGUCAUCUGGAGCCACGUUCAGUAAUGGGGAGACGGCGAUAUGGAGGAGCGAGGACCACGGCAGCAUUUACCGGACCCAAAGUGACAUUACAGGUGUGAUUCUGUGCAUGGAUCUGCAAAGAGAUCAAGGACUGCAUCACCUGGCAUUAGAGAUGUCGGACAGUCAUCAGUGCGGGGUAAUCCUCACAGGAAUCUCCCUUCAUGUCGGGACUUCAGGGGGGAGACGGAUUAUCCCUGUACGACUUCAACACGUCUUGUAGGAACGCAACAGCUCCCGCAGUCGAACUCCACUAUCAGCGCAAAGCUUUUGAUGGAACCUGGAGCUUGUUUGACAAAGUGAAAUGUAUCAUCCCUCCAUGUAUCUGCACCAGAUUCUGACACGGAACAGAGAAACAUCUGAAGACCUGCACAGAAAGAGUUGUAAAUGUGCGAGAAUGAUAUUAAUCAUGUAGUGUGUUUGCAAUGAAACAAACUAGACAUGAUGUAAUAUAAAUCAGGACAAUAAACACCACAUGGAUGAACAGACA